rnacentral:rRNA from 1 species
UACAGAGGGGGCGAGCGUUGUUCGGAAUUACUGGGCGUAAAGGGCGCGUAGGCGGCGACUCAAGUUAGAUGUGAAAGUCCUGGGCUUAACCUGGGGACUGCAUUUGAUACUGGGUUGCUUGAAUUCGGGAGAGGAUAGCGGAAUUCCCAGUGUAGAGGUGAAAUUCGUAGAUAUUGGGAAGAACACCGGUGGCGAAGGCGGCUAUCUGGACCGACAUUGACGCUGAGGCGCGAAAGCGUGGGGAGCAAACAGG